rnacentral:rRNA from 1 species
AGAGUUUGAUCCUGGCUCAGGAUGAACGCUGGCGGCAUGCCUAAUACAUGCAAGUCGAACGAGAGGAAGGAAAGCUUGCUUUUCUGAAUCUAGUGGCGAACGGGUGAGUAACACGUAGGUAACCUGCCCAUGUGCCCGGGAUAACUUCUGGAAACGGAUGCUAAAACCGGAUAGGUAGCAGACAAGCAUUUGACUGCUAUUAAAGUGGCUAAGGCCAUGAACAUGGAUGGACCUGCGGUGCAUUAGCUAGUUGGUGAGGUAACGGCCCACCAAGGCGACGAUGCAUAGCCGGCCUGAGAGGGCGGACGGCCACAUUGGGACUGAGACACGGCCCAAACUCCUACGGGAGGCAGCAGUAGGGAAUUUUCGUCAAUGGGGGGAACCCUGAACGAGCAAUGCCGCGUGAGUGAAGAAGGUCUUCGGAUCGUAAAGCUCUGUUGUAAGAGAAAAACGACAUUCAUAGGGAAUGAUGAGUGAGUGAUGGUAUCUUACCAGAAAGUCACGGCUAACUACGUGCCAGCAGCCGCGGUAAUACGUAGGUGGCGAGCGUUAUCCGGAAUGAUUGGGCGUAAAGGGUGCGUAGGUGGCAGAACAAGUCUGGAGUAAAAGGUAUGGGCUCAACCCGUACUGGCUCUGGAAACUGUUCAGCUAGAGAACAGAAGAGGACGGCGGAACUCCAUGUGUAGCGGUAAAAUGCGUAGAUAUAUGGAAGAACACCGGUGGCGAAGGCGGCCGUCUGGUCUGUUGCUGACACUGAAGCACGAAAGCGUGGGGAGCAAAUAGGAUUAGAUACCCUAGUAGUCCACGCCGUAAACGAUGAGAACUAGGUGUUGGGAGAAUAACUCAGUGCCGCAGUUAACGCAAUAAGUUCUCCGCCUGGGGAGUAUGCACGCAAGUGUGAAACUCAAAGGAAUUGACGGGGGCCCGCACAAGCGGUGGAGUAUGUGGUUUAAUUCGAAGCAACGCGAAGAACCUUACCAGGCCUUGACAUCCCUUGCAGAGGUAUAGAGAUAUAUCCGAGGUUAUCAAGGAGACAGGUGGUGCAUGGUUGUCGUCAGCUCGUGUCGUGAGAUGUUGGGUUAAG